rnacentral:lncRNA from 1 species
AACAUUGUUUCACUUGGCUUUUAGUUAAGCCGCACUGAAUCUGGUUUUCUUCUGCACUCGCACCGGAAUCUAAACAUUAGAUUGGAAUCUGCAACUCAGGAAUCUUAAUGUGGCGAUUGGAUCAACUUCAAAGCUCAGUAGAAAAUGGAAUAGCAGAUUUUCGUCUCAAAUCUGAAACAUUGCAUUCAAUUAAGCCAAGAAGGGCGUCCGGGAAACGACUUUCAUCCAGACAUUUUGAAGGCGAGAAUUGCUUCCGUCUUCAGGAGGUUUUCUCGCUCAAGCUUACGCAAUAGAAACGUAUUUCUAGGACGCAUUCAAGCAAUGGCCACAAAAAAAUUAUAUUUCUUACCUGAUACGAACCAAUAACCAUGCUGAUGUACUGAUGGACCGUGUAAAGUGGAUGUUGCGCAUCUGGUUUAACCGGGAUAAAGAUAAAUUGCAAUCCAAAUAGAGGCGUCAAAAUUAGAGCGGCUCUAACCGCCUUUCUUACGCUGUCUGGAGCAGGAUUUGGAGAACUGGGGUGCAUAAUUGUCAGGAUCACCCUGAGGAUAUUGAUCAAGAAACCUGCAAAAUAUCGUUUACUAACACAACGAUGCCAGUGAAUUUGUGAAGUAAAUGUUCAUAUAAUGGCAGAAGAAAUAGCAUCAAAUUACUGUUUGAUAAGCUUAAAAUGAAAGCCUAAACAAAGGUAAAAAGCGACUGAGGACGUUUAAUAAAAGCAAAUAAUCCCGAAG